AACUGUACACAGGAACAAGUGCAAGGGAAGUUGGAACAUUAUUUCAUUUAAAGAAUUACUUUGAGCAAAGAAAUGUUACUGGAAAUGUGAAGGAAUCUUUCAAUUACAACGAAGAAUUCUUGGAGUUUUGUACUUUGCUUGCUCUGAACAUUUUAGACAUGGAAAAUCUGACAGAUGUUCCAGAUGUGGAUGAUAAAGUUUCAUACCUCCACAACACUUCAAGCAAAGUGAUAGACAGUGUAUUUCAAUCUACAUCAUCUGUUGUUCAGAAAAUUACAAAAACAGGCGAGAGGACACAAGAAAAUGAGCUAUAUCCAUUUUGUAUCUGUAAGUUGGAAAAGCCAGGAGCUAUCAUGAUUUUUUGCAAUAACAAAAACUGCACAAGAGGAAUCUGGUUCCAUAAAGAGUGUGUGGAAAUGGAAGAGGAAGACAUUCCAGAGGGUGUUUGGUAUUGCAGUACUGAUUGUGAAAAAGAGAAGUUAGUUAGAAGAACAAGGAAAAAGACGAAAAUGGAUUAUGUCCUUCUCCUCAUCUGGCGAGGGCUUUCGCAGAUGUCGAGGAUAGAUGCUAUUAGGGAGAACAAUGGGAAGAUGAUGAUAAUCCAUAGGAAAUUUGAUCUCCUGCAGUUUUUUUUUUCCAGACACCACCCAAAAUACUUCCUCUUGUGCACCAGACUGCUCCUAGCAGUAAAUGGUGCAGUUUCACCUAGGUUACAAAAGACAUUGAUUUGGAACAGAACCAUCAGUUCCAAUGGUGGACUGGGGAAGAACAUUGAAAUGGAUUUGCAAAUGGAGUACUUCAAUAAGGAGUACAAAGGUAAACAUUUUUUUUUCAAUAUCCUUCUGUUAAUGGAAGUUACUCUGUAAAUCAUUUCAAUUUCCAAAAAAUCUUUUUAUAUUUUUCAGAGAGUGUUAAAGAUGCCGCAGGACACUUGACACCCGACACAGUGGAAAGGCACAGCCAAAUGAUUGGGAUAGGGAAAGAGGUUGACAAGGUGUACGACAUAAGUGUGCUGAGGUGACGGUGUCGGCGUCUCUAAACUAUGGGUAAGCCGUACCACAAGCGUGUGAAAUUCGUCUAAUUGGGCAAUUGUGAGCCAUUCCUGUGCUCAAGGAGAUGAAAGUAAACCUGCUUUCUUCCCUUGUGCCUUGACUUCACAACAGCUGUUGUGUUACGUCCUGGAGACACAAUCCUCAAAGCCAUGUAAAAACUACCACAAGGUACUUUGGAAAAAAAUAUUUGUGACUUUUUUAAUUGAUGUUUUCAUGAAAAUUAAUAAUAUAAUAAUGUCAUAACAAAUAUGUACAACCGAACAUUUUUUUUCUAUAAAUAUACAUUAUAUGUACAUUAAACCAAUCACAGACAAGGAGGCAUAUUUUCAUGAGACAUGAUUGGACGAGCCAAGUGACAGCAUGACGGUCAAAGAUGUAGUUUUUCUUUCUCAAAAUGAUGUGAAAAAUUUGUUUUCUGUGAUAAAAUAAAACAAAAAAAAAACACCUGUAAGGUAUGACAAAAUGAUAGUGGAAUGCUUGUUAAGCACUUUUUUCAGUAACAAAAUAUACCGUAUAAAAAAACCUACGAUGUUAACAUUUUUUGUUAUCAAUUGAGUUACGAAAACAAAUUGACAAGAUGUGCAUACAAUGUUGUCGACUGCGGGCUUGGCCCGGGUGGAAUGGUAGGUGAGGCUUCAGGAAGUCUAAAGACUGAUUUGUUCAUUUUCUUACAAAAGAAAGAUUGAUCAACAUAGAAUGAUUAAGCCUAGGUUUCAGAAGAUUAAAAAGAAUUUGGACACAAAAUAAUUUCGGUAUAAAGCUCAUACAAAAAUGCCCUAUAUAAAUUUCGCAUGGUUAACUGGACUGGAAGAGACAAAUACUGUUUGAGACAAAUAAAUUACUGGUAACAUUACAUACAUUGUUUUACCACUAUAUAUAUUAUGCACAUUUCAUAGUAACUACAUUUUGACUAAAGACAAUAGUGUACAAAAUCUGUAACAUUACUUGAAGCAUUGGCAAAACAUGGUAACACAACAAUGCACACAUAUUAGCUUGCAAUCAAAAGUAACACUCAUUAUAAUAGAUUUCUGUUUAACAGACAAACGUACAAGCACUCCUCUCAUUCAAGGUCAUUAUAACAAGGUCAAACAUGGAGGGACUAAAUAUCACAUGGCAGUGCCUGCACUCAUCCCCCCCCCCAUAUUUUGGUCAUUAAUUUAACUCCUUGCAGCAGACGUACUGCGUUGGCCGAACCAGCAUAAGGUGACAAAUAUGAACACCUCUGUCGGGAAAGCAAACAUAAAGUAUGCCCAAGCAUUGCAUUAAACAGCAAAACAGACUGCAGCCAAAUGUUGAAAUUAAUUGACAGAAUGAUUAUCAGUGUACAAUACCAAUUGUCUUGGAGACAAGUUCC